GCGGCAGUCGAAAAGCAAAGGAGACAUGGCCAGUGGAGAUGGUAUCCUCCCCUGCCCACAACAUACACUCAGACGUGGCUUUGGGAAAGCACAGAAAGAAUAAUUAAAGCCUCCACUAAAGCUCAACACUCGGGCUUUACAACAGAAGACCCUUCGGUGGUAAAAAGACAGAAUAGGAAACGGCCCCGAUCUUCAUGUUUAGAAAAUGGCAAGGCCCCAUCUCUAUGAAGUUACUAAUCAGGCGUCCAGGAAGCUGAACAAUGCAGCUAAAGCUCCCGCUCAAGGGACUCAGUGGGUUGGAUUUAUGGCAGCGUGCUGCACACGGCCUGGAAAUCAGUUUAGCCUUAUCUUGGUUUGGGCCUCUGAUCUCACCUGGAAUCUCAUCUUGCAACAUUCCUUGGCACAAGGAGAGCUUUUAUGAUGCUACUUUGGCUGCCUGAAACCUGCUUGGCGAUUGGGUAAUAUUACCUGUACACAGCAGCGAUGUAUAUUAUAUUACUAUUGGCUAAUAUUAAUGCUUCAAAUAUGUCAAAAUGAUACUAGCAUGUCUGACAUCCAUUCCUCUAUUGACUGGGACAAGUGUGCGCUUUGUCAGGAAGACACAGGUGCAGAGUUGAGUAAUCCAUCAGAAUAAAAAAGAGAGCAUGUUGGAUCUGGCUAACAAACUCUACUAGAAAAUAACAGAUGUUUCCAUAAGCUGAAUGGACUUCCAAUAUCCACAGAGGUAUGUAGAGGAUGGUGAUGGUAUUGAAAAGACUUUGAACGAGAACACUGGACAUUGGAACAAAUCUUGCUACAUCAAGUUUCACAGGACCAAACUUUAAAAGGCUAAAACGGAUAAAGUUGUGGAUCACGCUGAUGAACUGCAGAGGAAACACACCUAUUUAAGUGACCAGCACAAAGGACCUCCAGAAAAAGAAGCGUGAAAUUAAUGCACCAUUAGAAAAUCUCCAUGAAGCUUCCACCCUCAGCAUCGAUAGUCGAGUCCACAAGAGAGCACUUCAGCUGCAAGACCAGCACUUGCUUGUACAUGGGACUUAGUGGCCCAAGAGGCAAAGUAUCAUGCAAGAUGUUUGACGUCUCUCUACAACAAGGUCAUGGAGAACAAAACUGAGCAAAGCAACACAGAGAAGAUGUCACGUGGGAAGAUUGCCUUUGCUGAACUAAUAGCAUACACCGAAGAGGCAAGACUGAAUGAAGAUGUGGCUCCAGUCUUUAAACUAGUGGGCCUCACAAGGCUUUGAAUAGCUACACUAGAACAGCUGGGGAUGAUACUGGCUGGCCACAUUCACAGCACUGAACUAAAAUCCUGUAUCCUUUCAGACAUUCCAGAUCCCCAAGUACACGAAUAAGGAUGUGAUGUGCUCCCCUUCAACUAGGAUAUUGGACAUGCCCUCCGAAGAUCAUGUGAGGAAGACUCUGUUGAAGGAGAACUUCAUCUGCCCCAAACAGCCAAAAUUAUUCAAAGGGACACAUUUCAAAUGAAGACAGUUUACUGGAUUAUUUGACCCAGGAUGCCAAGCACAAUCUAUGCCUGUGUCACUAUUGGGUCUGAGGUCCAUAAUAUUGGAUGGUCCAAAGAUUAAAAUUCAGUCAGAACAAGUUUCUAUUCAUCCAGCUACCACUACUUUGGCACUACACUUGAAGUAACAGAAAGUUUGUACCACAACAAAGCUUGAGAAAUGCCUUUACCAGGCUACAUUGGUUUUGAAACUUUGUGCACAGACAUGAAGAAAUGAGC